rnacentral:lncRNA from 1 species
AGACGGAAAUCAUCUGCUGUAGAAGCCCGGACGGGUACUUUCUGUUGGAAAAAUCCGGCUGGAGUCUGAUUGCUAGAGAGAUCCGUUUGAAAUUUGUUUGGUGUAGAAGCUUGUCUGAAGACUGUUCGCUGGAGAGGUCUGGUUGCAUGAGGAAUUCGAUAGAAGGUCGGCCGAUAGCAAAAUUCGAAAGGUGUUAUAGAAGGUUGACCGAUAGAAGAGUUCGGAAGGUGUUGUGGAAGUUCGUCCGCUG